rnacentral:rRNA from 1 species
UCAGGAUGAACGCUAGCUACAGGCUUAACACAUGCAAGGUCGAGGGGCAUCAGGGGUCCGAGUGUCCGUUCGCGGAUGCGAGGUCCUGCUGGCGACCGGCGCACGGGUGCGUAACGCGUGCCGAACCUGCCCUGCACCCGGGGAUAGUCUCUUGAAAGGGAGGUUAAUACCCGGCGGUCCCGUGAUGCUGCAUGGCAUUACGGGUGAAGAUUUUUAUCGGUGCGGGAUGGCGGCGCGUGGGAUUAGCUUGUCGGCGGGUAACGGCCACCGAGGCAUCGAUCCCUAGGGGUUCUGAGAGGAAGGCCCCCCACACUGGUACUGAGACACGGACCAGACUCCUACGGGAGGCAGCAGUGAGGAAUAUUGGUCAAUGGCCGGAAGGCUGAACCAGCCAAGUAGCCGUGCAGGACGACGGCCCUCCGGGUUGUAAACUGCUUUUAUACGGGAACAGUGCGUGUCUUGCGAGGCGCGCGGGAGUGUACCGUGUGAAUAAGGACCGGCUAAUUCCGUGCCAGCCGCCGC